rnacentral:rRNA from 1 species
AUGCGGUGCGUAACGUCGGCCACUUUUUUGGUGAAGCUCAAUGGUGGUUUAUCGAGGGGGUUUUCCCCUUCCAGAGGGCUCCGACAGGGUGAUCCAUUAUCCCCUUAUCUGUUUCUGUUCUAUGUGGAAGGAUUCUCUGCGAUGCUCAAAAAAGCCCAAGAGGAGGGGAAGGUGAAGGGUGUGAAAUUUGGGCGCACUGGCCCCCAUGUUACUCACCUUCUUUUUGCAGAUGACAGUAUUGUGUUUUUGGAAGGAUCGCAUGACAACAUGGUGACGUUGAGGGAAAUACUGAGGAGAUAUGAAGUGGCAUCAGGCCAACGAGUCAACUUACAGAAGUCUUCCAUCUUCUUUGGGAAAGGUCAUCAGGAGGAUGACAAGGAGGAAAUAAAGAAUUUAUUGGGAGUUCAUUCAGGAGCUCUUAGUGAGCGAUACCUCGGGCUACCAACACUGGUUGGGAAGUCUAAGGAGGGUACUUUCAGGUAUGUGACGGAAAGCUCAAAAGGCAAGGUUGGCGGAUGGAAGGGGCAAGGACUAUCGAAAGUUGCGAGAGAAGUGUUGAUCAAAUCUGGGUUACAAGUUGUACCCACUUUCACCAUGAGUUGUUUUCAGCUCACAAAGAAGACGUGCCGGAACCUGACCUCAAUCUCUUCAAAAUUCUGGUGGGCGGCAACGAAUGGUGAACGUAAGGUACACUGGAUAUCAUGGAAAAAUGUGUGCGGGAAAACGAGAUGGUGGUAUGGGGUUUCGUGA